AGCUACUCGGGAGGCUGAGGCGGGAGAAUCGCUUGAACCCGGGAGGCAGAGGUUGCAGUGAGCCGAGAUCGUGCCACUGCACUCCAGCCUGGGCGACAGAGCCAGACUCCAUCUUUUUUUUUUUGAGAUGGAGUCUGGCUCUGUCGCCCGGACUGGAGUGCAGUGGCACGAUCUCGGCUCACUGCAAGCUCCGCCUCCUGGGUUCACGCCA
rnacentral:lncRNA from 1 species